rnacentral:rRNA from 1 species
CGGACGGGUGAGUAACGCGUGGGUAACCUGCCUUGUACUGGGGGACAACAGUUAGAAAUGACUGCUAAUACCGCAUAAGCGCACAGUAUCGCAUGAUACCGUGUGAAAAACUCCGGUGGUACAAGAUGGACCCGCGUCUGAUUAGCUAGUUGGUAAGGUAACGGCUUACCAAGGCGACGAUCAGUAGCCGACCUGAGAGGGUGACCGGUCACAUUGGGACUGAGACACGGCCCAA